rnacentral:rRNA from 1 species
UGCCAGCAGCCGCGGUAAUACGUAGGGUGCAAGCGUUGUUCGGAUUGACUGGGCGUAAAGAGCACGUAGGUUGAUGUGUAAGUCGAAUGUGAAAGCCCAGGGCUUAACCUUGGAACUGCAUUCGAAACUACACUUCUUGAAUACUUGAGAGGUUGGCGGAAUUCCAGGUGUAGGAGUGAAAUCCGUAGAUAUCUGGAGGAACAUCAGAGGCGAAGGCGGCCAACUGGCAAUGUAUUGACACUGAGGUGCGAAAGCGUGGGGAGCAAACAGGAUUAGAUA